rnacentral:misc_RNA from 1 species
CCGCCCCUGACGGAUGUAGUCUGAAGGACUGGCAAGUAGUGCCAUGGCACUGCGAGACUGUCAAAUUGCCGGAACAUCCUGUCAAGUCACUGGUACCGCCUGCUUAAGGAAACUUUAGUAUGGCACCGGGGGGAAACUCACGGGUAUGGUAAAAAUCCAGUGAAUAGGGACAAUCGGCAGCCAAGUCCUAAGGAUUCCAAUCGGAGUCUAUGGAUGCAGUUCAUCGACUAAAUGGCAGUCGGCUUGUCCAUUCGUUGUAGCACACAAUCAGUUGCCCUCUAGGGGGGGCCUUGCACGAUCGAGGCCCAUCCAUUUGUGGUCAGCCAUGGGAGCAAGGAGGUGUGACUGCAACAAAGAAUGGGUAAAACAAGCUUAAGAUAUAGUCAGGCACCACAGAGAUGUGGCCUAUAGGAGGACUGGAAGACGAGCAGCCGGGGGUAGGCCCUAGUUAGAGCCCACCACGUCGGAUGCGUUGUUUCAACUUCCAUGAGAGCCUAUAGGAGAUCAGGUAAUACUUGUUGUCGCAAGGCAAUAAGGGCUGUAAAAAGCCUCUGAUCUUGACUAACCGAGGUGAACCUGCGGAAGGAUCAUUGAGUGAUUAAAGCUUCCCUCACGGGAAGUCAAACAAACCAUGUGAACCUCAACGUUUCGUGCCUUAGCUUUGCCGCGGGGCGCUGGCCUUACGGUCAGUGCAACUCGCAACCAACUUGGGCAAUGCAGCCUGGGUUGGGGCGCUUUGGCAUGCCUAUACACCAUUGCUAACCAAUGUACAAACCAAAAUCUGAACUCUUGACUGCUGUUAACCGGCGGUCUUAACAAAGACAACUCUCAACAACGGAUAUCUUGGCUCUCGCAACGAUGAAGAACGCAGCGAAAUGCGAUACGUAGUGUGAAUUGCAGAAUUCCGUGAACCAUCGAAUCUUUGAACGCAUAUUGCGCUCAAGCCUCCGGGCAAGAGCAUGUCUGCCUCAGCGUCGGUUUAACCCCUCAUCCCUCUCACCUUGUGAGUUGGUUGGCUUCUCUAGCUGGCCUUUGGGAUGGAUCUGGCUUCCCCAACCGGCUUGUCUGGUUGGGUUGGCUGAAGUGCAGAGGCUUAAGCAAGGACCCGAUAUGGGCUUCAACUGGAUAGGUAGCACCGGCCUUGGCCGACUACACGAAGUUGUGGCUUGUGGAUCUUGCUAGGAGCCAAGCAGGAAACGCGCUUUUGCGCGUCUCAAACUUCGACCUGAGCUCAGGCAAGCCUCCGUCUCGG